CUGAUUCAGGGAGGUAGCGACAAGAAAUAACGAUAGCGGGCUCGUUCGAGUCCGCGCAUCGGAAUGAGGACAAUUUACACCCCUUCUCGAGGAUCCAUUGGAGGGCAAGCCUGGUGCCAGCAGCCGCGGUAAUUCCAGCUCCAAUAGCGUAUACUAAAGUUGUUGCAGUUAAAAAGCUCGUAGUCGAAUGAAGGUUCUUUUGUUACGUGAACUCGUAGGUGUAACUUAUGUAGUUUGUGUACAAAGACCUCCCUCGUAUGAAACGAUUUUUCUGAUUUUCAGGAAGAUACGGUCAUACGCAUUACUGUGAACAAAAUAGAGUGUUCAUGGCAGGCCAAUUAGGCUUGAAUACCUCAGCAUGGAAUAAUAGAAUAGGACUUCCGGUUCUAUUUUGUUGGUUUUUGGAGCCGAAGUAAUGAUUAAUAGGGAUAGUUGGGGGCACUCGUACUCCGUUGUCAGAGGUGAAAUUCUUGGAUUGACGGAAGACGAACAACUGCGAAAGCAUCUGCCAAGG
rnacentral:rRNA from 1 species